GAUAAACGCUGGCGGCGUGCUUUAUGCAUGCAAGUCGAACGGUUCUUCUCUUCGGAGAAGGAUAGUGACGGACUGGUGAGUAACACGUAAGCAACCUGCCCUUAAGUGUGGAACAACUCUGAGAAAUCGGAGCUAAUACCUCAGUGAUGGCGGAGGUAAUGCUCCAUCAUUAAAGCCUUCGGGUGCUUUUGGAGGGGCUUGCGUCCGAUUAGCUAGUUGGUAAGGUAACGGCCUACCAAGGCGAUGAUCGGUAGCUGGUUUGAGAGGAUGAUCAGCCACACUGGGACUGAGAUACGGCCCAGACUCCUACGGGAGGCAGCAGCAAGGAAUAUUGGGCAAUGGGCGAAAGCCUGACCCAGCGACGUCGCGUGGGGGAAGAAGGCCCUCGGGUCGUAAACCCCUUUUCUCGGGGAAGAAUAAUGACGGUACCUGAGGAAUAAGCCCCGGCUAACUACGUGCCAGCAGCCGCGGUAAUACGUAGGGGGCGAGCGUUAUCCGGAUCUACUGGGCGUAAAGAGAGCGUAGGCGGUUCUUCAAGUCGGAUGUAAAAUCUCCCGGCUCAACUGGGAGGGAUCGUUCGAUACUGUUGGGCUAGAGGGCAGCAGAGGGAGGUGGAAUUCCCGGUGUAGUGGUGAAAUGCGUAGAUAUCGGGAGGAACACCAGUGGCGAAAGCGGCCUCCUGGGCUGUUUCUGACGCUGAGGCUCGAAGGCAUGGGGAGCAAACAGGAUUAGAUACCCUGGUAGUCCAUGCAGUAAACGAUGGACACUAGGUAUAGAAGGUAUCGACCCCUUCUGUGCCGAAGCUAACGCUUUAAGUGUCCCGCCUGGGGAGACGGUCGCAAGACU
rnacentral:rRNA from 1 species